ensembl:lncRNA
UUGCUGAUGGGGAAUGUCCUUCUGUGUAUGUUUAUCAUAUUGUUUGUUGAAUAAUGCACUGCUCGGCCAAUAGGAAAGCAAGAUAGGUGGGACUAGGAGUCAAGGAUGAUUCUGGGAAAUGUAGCAAAAAUAAGUCUUGUGAUCCAGGCAGGAAGUGACAUAGCAGGCAGACUCAGAAUGUAAGCAGGAAAUCGUCCUCUGGCUCUUCCUUUUCCUCCUGCUCUCUUCUCUAUGGAGCCACCAUGUGAUCCCGGGAAGAGGACACUAGUGGAAGGCAUCCUCAAUAAGAUAAGUCUUGUAAAAUAUAUAGAUAAGACUGAGCUAGCACAUAAGAAAUCCUAGUCAAUUGGCCAGAAGCAUUGUAAACUAAUAUAAGACUCUGUGUGUUAUUCUGGAUUGCCCACAUGGCAGUGGGGCUUGGGCAGAUGGAGUAAAGACUUAUGCUUACAGAAUGGUGUCAGUGAGUAGCAUUACCCCAUGCCCUGAGAUUCCCAGAGGAAGUGGUGAACCUGCUGCCACAGCCUGCCCUGUUAAGCCGCUGAGCAUCAGAGCAGCUUCCAUACAUGCUUGCCAUUGGACACUCUUGGGUGUUGGACUCAGUGCUCCCGAGAUGGCCUGCAGCCCUCGAGAGUUCUAGGGUUAGGAUUCUGUGCUCUCACCACUUCGAGCCACCAGUCGCUGCAAGUCAUGAACCACCAUGCAUCAAGAGCUGCCUUCCUCGACUAGGCAAGCAGUGGCAGAACCCAGGCAGCUGGUGGUAGUGUUACAAACCUCCAUGUAAACUUCACAAAAGCUUAAAAAGGGAUUCUGGAAGCAAAAGAACAGAGACAAGCAUGACUUCUUGGUAACAGCAUUUUCUCGGGUGGGCUCUGUUUUGCUAGAGACAAGCAGAGACUCGAGCAGUCCCUUAAGGGAGGUUUCCUGACCCAGCAUAAAUGGCAAAACCACAUGGCUAUUUUAAGAGGCCCAGCUAGCUCAUUCAGUAAAGCAUGAGACUCUUAAUGUGGGUUCAUACCCCACACAGCUGGCAGUGGCAGUGACCACAUCUCCAAGCUGACAUGCUUCUUGGUGGCAGCACAGACCAAGGCAGUGAGCACAGUUCUCAGUCUGGGGAAAAGACAGCCACUAAGAAAGCGACUGCUUUGAUUUUGGCAGCGUUGUUUAACAGUUGAAAGACUGUGUGGCCAGGAAAAGGUAAAGUUUUACAGUAAAAACAGACUCAGAUGAAGAAAAACCUCUAAAGGUUUACACUGUGUUUAAAAAUAUAUGUAGGCUUGUGAGAGAAAAAGAAACAGGAGGAAAUAGAGUAGCUGGGUGUGAUGGCACAUGCCUUUAAUCCCAGCACUUGGGAGACAGAGGCAAGCAUAUCUUGGUGACUUCAAGGCCAGCCUAUUGUACAGAGUGAAUGCAAGGGCAGCCAAAGUUGCACAGAUAAUCCCUGUCCCAUAAAAGGAAAAAAAUAAAAGUAAAAGGAAUAGAAUAAUAAAAAGCCAAGUAAAUAUGAAAAAUAUACAGGGUCUGGAUACUAUGCUAUAUUGUUGUCUUUAAACUGUUUGAUUGCUGAGGAAAUAGCAACAACUGCUAACAGACAUUUGAUUAUAAAUGCUGCUAAAUUAAUACAACUUAUACACUUUAAAAAUGCUUUGACUCCAAAAUUUAAGUCUAAGGACAGGCUACUUGGAAAAAAGAAUUUCUGCUUUUGUUUACACAGGAAAUGAAAAGCUAUGGAUUCCUUCCAGACUAAUAUGGUUUGAUGAAGCAAGACCACCUGAAGCAGUGACCCAACAAGAUCCUACAUCCAAAACAGCUGAGAUGAUGCAGCCUUGCAGACUACACAAACAAGGACUAUGGCCAGGUUUCUGUGUUUUAUCAUGAUCCUCAUGGUAAUGUGUCAUGUGUAUUUGGAUGCAAGGAUGCCUUAUAUUAAGUUGGAUGGCCCCCAGGGAGUCAUGAUCCAAAGGUUGGAAAGUACUGCAGAAGAGGUUUGCCUCUAUUAUUUUGGCCUCAAAAUUUGUCUCAGAGGAUUUUGAAGGUAUACACUAGAGCCAAUGACAAAUGGUGUGGUUACAUGCAUGGGAUGUAAACUCACAUUUGGAUCAGAGCCCCUCCAUGAUCUGGAUGGAUCCACAUCACAUACAGGAGUGAAACAGAGUGGCAACAGACAUGAAGAUUUGCACUUUGAGGAAAAUCUCUGACAAGUGUCCCCUUCUUUCCAAGAGAUGAGAGCUGGGUGAUGAAGACUCAUGAAGCCACUCUUGGUUCUUCAUGUCAGGUUUAUUUCAUAGCACUAUUGGCCCUACAAAAGGAAGAUACAGAGGUGCAGCAUCUAAAAUCAUUAUCAGCUAGAUCUACAGUGGGCUGUUUUCUGUCCCUGAUUCUCACAGUAACAUCUACAGCAAGGCCACCCUGAUUGCACAGAUUGAGUCACCUUUGGAUUUCUCACAUUGAAUCCUUGAAGCUUGCUUUACAUGGAGUGCCCUGAGUGGGGGGGGGGAGCAAAGGACAUCACCCAUGGUCUUUCAUGUCAUUGUCUGAUGUUCAUAAUUAUAUUCUUAGUGAACCAAUUUCAUAACAGGGAGAAGAGCAGCUAUGGCAGAUCCCUGUUGAGACUCUGCCAAUCAACAUGACGCCAAUGAAUAAGCAUCACUUUAACAUUUUCCUCAAUAUCCAGUGGGUAACAGUGAAGACUUGGGGUCCUUUUGAUCUUUGCCCCUUCUAGAGGCACCAGACAAUAGUCUCUUUCUUGUAGUCCCUACUGACAUUAAUGCAAAUAUUUCUGACAAGUGGAAAAUCUCCUUGUAAUUAAAUUUCUGUUGUACUUUAAUGUUUGUUCCCUAAAGAAAGUUCCUGUUAGAAGAUUUCAAGCUGUGAUAAUAACAUUUUCUUGCUAUGCUAUCAAAAUCUGUAAUCUAUUUUCUUUCCUGGACAAAACUCAAAGAAACUGUUAAAUUUAAGAAAAUCUUAGUACUUGUUUUUUUCAAAUUUUGAAUAAGUUGUUCUUGAAUAACAACUUAGAGUUUCAGCAGAGUUGGGAAGCAUUAGCAAGCCUACUGUUGAGACGUCUCAACAAACAUCUCAGUUUAGAGGGUGCUGAUAUUUUUAGAAUUGGAUGUAGAGGUAAGGGUGAGCAACAUCAAGGAAAGGGAACUGAUAUGUGCUUUGAGAGCCUUUGAGAAUUAGCUUAUAACUUCAAUAUGAUGAAAAUGAUCUCUGAAAAUAAUU